rnacentral:snRNA from 1 species
AUGCUUGCUUUGGCAGCACAUAUACUAAACCUGGAAUGAUAUAGAGAAGAUUAGCAUGGCCCCUGCACAUGGAUGACAUGCAAAUUCAUGAAGCAUUCCAUAGUUUU